AUGGCAACUGAAGAGAAAACCGAAGGAAGCAGCUCCAGCCCCGAAUUAUCAAAGAAAUUUCCAUUCAUGUUUCUGGAAAAAAUUACGAAUUGUUUCUCCCAAAUAUUCUGUAAAGAUCCAUUUGGAACAGUUUAUAAGGGAACUCUGCCAGAUUCUAACAAAAAGAUUGCUGUGAAGAAACUUGAGCAAAGCGAAGAAAUUCCACGUGACGAUUUUGAGAAUCAGGUUCAGAGUAUUGUGGGGCUUAAACAUGAAAACAUUGUAGAGUUGGUUGGGUUCUGCAAUGAAACACACCAGAACAGUACAGAAAGGUUACUCUGCUAUGGAUUUGCUCCCGAUGAGAACCUUCAACAGCAUCUUUUUGGGACUGAAGAGACGGAGGAUUCUUCUUCGACUGAACCUAGUAACAACUGGAACACAUGCUUCAAAAUAAUCAAGGGGAUUUGCCAGGGUUUACUUUUUCUACACAAGCAGUUAGAUAAUAAUCCCAUUACCCAUAUGGAUCUUAACCUGAAAAAUAUAUGGUUGGAUAAAACAAUGGUGCCCAAAAUUGCCAAUGUUGAACUCUCCAGAAUCUUUAGCCAUGAACAGAUCACAAAGGAAUCAUGUGGAUACAUGGCUCCAGAAUAUAUAAACGACACUCGCAAUGCCAUGUCAUUUCAAACAGACAUAUAUAGUUUAGGUGUAAUGAUAAUACAAAUCACCACAGGGGAGAAGAGUCGUGGCAAAAUGGAGGACCGUGCCUCAAGGAGUUACAUUGAUAAAAUACGUAGAAAGUGGACAGCAGAACACAUAGCAUCCAAGUACUCAUCGUUGGAUUCAGAAUGCCUCCAUCAAGUACAUGCAUGCAUAAAAACUGGGCUAGAAUGUGUGCAGAUUGAUCAGAAAAAUAGGCCUUCCAUAGAGGAAAUUGUUGACAGGCUCAACACAAUCUGA
rnacentral:rRNA from 1 species